UACUUCCGGCAGUAGGAGAGAGAAACGGGCGGGGGGGGGGGGGGGGGGGGGACCGUCCAUUGAAAAUUACA
rnacentral:sRNA from 1 species